rnacentral:rRNA from 1 species
AUAUACGACCGUACCGCAAACCGACACUGGUGCGCGAGAUGAGUAUUCUAAGGCGCUUGAGAGAACUCAGGAGAAGGAACUCGGCAAAUUGACACCGUAACUUCGGAAGAAGGUGUGCCCUAUUAGUGUGAAGUGAACAACGGAGCAUGAAUGGGUUGCAAAAAAUCGGUGGCUGCGACUGUUUAUUAAAAACACAGCACUCUGCAAACACGAAAGUGGACGUAUAGGGUGUGACGCCUGCCCGGUGCUGGAAGAUUAAAUGAUGGGGUGCAAGCUCUUGAUUGAAGUCCCAGUAAACGGCGGCCGUAACAAUAACGGUCCUAAGGUAGCGAAAUUCCUUGUCGGGUAAGUUCCGACCUGCACGAAUGGCGUAACGAUGGCCACACUGUCUCCUCCUGAGACUCAGCGAAGUUGAAAUGUUUGUGAUGAUGCAAUCUCCCCGCGGAAAGACGGAAAGACCCCAUGAACCUUUACUGUAGCUUUGUAUUGGACUUUGAACAGAUCUGUGUAGGAUAGGUGGGAGGCUUUGAAGCAGGGUCGCUAGAUCUUGUGGAGCCAACGUUGAAAUACCACCCUGGUGUGUUUGAGGUUCUAACCUAGGUCCAUUAUCUGGAUCGGGGACAGUGCAUGGUAGGCAGUUUGACUGGGGCGGUCUCCUCCCAAAGCGUAACGGAGGAGUUCGAAGGUACGCUAGUUACGGUCGGACAUCGUGACGAUAGUGCAAUGGCAUAAGCGUGCUUAACUGCGAGACUGACAAGUCGAGCAGAUGCGAAAGCAGGACAUAGUGAUCCGGUGGUUCUGUAUGGAAGGGCCAUCGCUCAACGGAUAAAAGGUACUCUGGGGAUAACAGGCUGAUACCGCCCAAGAGUUCAUAUCGACGGCGGUGUUUGGCACCUCGAUGUCGGCUCAUCUCAUCCUGGGGCUGUAGCCGGUCCCAAGGGUAUGGCUGUUCGCCAUUUAAAGAGGUACGUGAGCUGGGUUUAAAACGUCGUGAGACAGUUUGGUCCCUAUCUUCCGUGGGCGCUGCAGAUUUGAGGAAGCCUGCUCCUAGUACGAGAGGACCGGAGUGGACACACCUCUGGUGUAUCGGUUGUCACGCCAGUGGCAUUGCCGAGUAGCUAAGUGUGGAAGAGAUAACCGCUGAAAGCAUCUAAGCGGGAAACUCGUUUCAAGAUGAGAUCUGCCGGGGCCUUGAGCCCCCUGAAGAGUCGUUCAAGACCAGGACGUUGAUAGGUCAGGUGUGGAAGCGCAGUAAUGCGUUAAGCUAACUGAUACUAAUUGCUCGUGCGGCUUGACCG